UUUAGAUAUCACAUUUAAUUUAUGUGUAUUUUAUUUAUCUGCUUCCUGAUUUACUCAAGCUGAGAACCUUUCUAAAGGCCUUAUAAGCUGUUCCUUGAAAAAGAGAUAAAACUGUGCUGGCUUCUCUGCCAACACAAGUUGUAAGAAGCAUUGUGCUGAGACAGUGCUUAUCAGUUGCAAACUGGCCACUGUUGUAUAAAUGAUAUUUCCAGUUAUAUGAAAGCAAGUAUAUAAUUAUGAUAAUAAUUGCUGUUUUAGUAUUUCUCUGAUAUAGUUUUUUAUUAAAUAAAUGACAUUUUAUAAAUAUUUAACUCUGCUAUCUCUCUCUCUCUCUCUCUCUCUCUCUCUCUUUUUUUUUUUUUUUUUUUUCCCAGUUUUAAUUUAAAGGAAGAAGCUGACCAUUACUACAGAUUUUCUUCUGGUUCUUUAUCUGUUUUAUAAUGUCAGUGAAUUGGAGUUCCAGUUAUUCAUUAAUAUUUAAGAGAUGCAGACCUGGUUACCUUCUCUGGACCUUUAACUACUCCGUAAAGCAGACGAGCGUACGUGAAAGAGCACUUCAACUACAGCAUUCUUUCACACCAGCUGAAUUACAAAACUGAACUUGAUAGAUAGAAUUACUUUUCACAAUUCUGUCCCCUGCAUGUGGCUUUUGAACAGGAUUCAAUAUGAUUUGGAGAUCUAGAUUAAUCAGUGGAACACAGAAGGUUCAGCUGGGGAUCUUUGUUAAAUCUUAAUGGCAGCACUUAGCCGUUACAAAAAUUAUAAAAUCACUUUAAGUAAGUGUAUUGGGUUUACAUGCUUUUCCUACUAGAUGGUGAUACAGGGCCCAACUGUGUAAAAUCUCUACUUCAUAUCAACUGUAAAACUGUACUAAGUAAUAAAUAAAGUCUGUACACUAAGUAAAUGAGUAAG
rnacentral:lncRNA from 1 species